rnacentral:ncRNA from 2 species
AAAGAUCGCAGCCUGCGGCAGCUCCUACACGGGAAUCGGCAUACACCUGUAGGAGCUGCCGCAGGCUGCGAUCUUU